CAAGGAAUUUUCCCCAAUGGGCGCAAGCCUGAGGGAGCAACGCCGCGUGCAGGAUGACGGCCUUCGGGUUGUAAACUGCUUUUCGGAGGGAAGAGAAUGACGGUACCUCCGGGAUAAGCCCCGGCUAACUCUGUGCCAGCAGCCGCGGUAAGACAGAGGGGGCAAGCGUUGUCCGGACUGACUGGGCGUAAAGCGUCCGCAGGUGGCGUGGCAAGUACGGUGUGAAAUCAGGCGGCUCAACCGCCUGCGGUCAUCGUAGACUGUCAUGCUGGAGGACUGGAGAGGUCGGUGGAAUUGCCGGUGUAGUGGUGAAAUGCGUAGAUAUCGGCAGGAACACCCAAGGGGAAGCCAGCCGACUGGCCAGUGCCUGACACUCAGGGACGACAGCGUGGGGAGCGAACUGGAUUAGAUACCCAGGUAGUCCACGCCGUAAACGAUGGACGCUCGAUCUUUGGUGGGUAACCAGUCCCGCUGGGGGUCUCAGCUAACGCGCAAGCGUCCCGCCUGGGAACUACGAGCGCAAGCUUAA
rnacentral:rRNA from 1 species